rnacentral:rRNA from 1 species
UACGUAGGGUGCAAGCGUUAACCGGAAUUACUGGGCGUAAAGCGUGCGCAGGCGGUUCUAUAAGCCAGAUGUGAAAUCCCCGGGCUCAACCUGGGAACUGCAUUUGUGACUGUAGAGCUGGAGUACGGCAGAGGGGGAUGGAAUUCCGCGUGUAGCAGUGAAAUGCGUAGAUAUGCGGAGGAACACCGAUGGCGAAGGCAAUCCCCUGGGCCUGUACUGACGCUCAUGCACGAAAGCGUGGGGAGCAAACAGG